AACGAACGCUGGCGGCAUGCCUAACACAUGCAAGUCGAACGAGACCUUCGGGUCUAGUGACGCACGGGUGCGUAACGCGUGGGAACCUGCCCUUAGGUUCGGAAUAACUCCCCGAAAGGGGUGCUAAUACCGGAUAAUGUCUUCGGACCAAAGAUUUAUCGCCUUUGGAUGGGCCCGCGUUGGAUUAGCUAGUUGGUAGGGUAAAAGCCUACCAAGGCGACGAUCCAUAGCUGGUCUGAGAGGAUGAUCAGCCACACUGGGACUGAGACACGGCCCAGACUCCUACGGGAGGCAGCAGUGGGGAAUAUUGGACAAUGGGCGAAAGCCUGAUCCAGCAAUGCCGCGUGAGUGAUGAAGGCCUUAGGGUUGUAAAGCUCUUUUACCCGGGAUGAUAAUGACAGUACCGGGAGAAUAAGCGCCGGCUAACUCCGUG
rnacentral:rRNA from 1 species